rnacentral:rRNA from 1 species
UACGUAGGGGGCUAGCGUUGUCCGGAAUUAUUGGGCGUAAAGAGCGCGUAGGCGGCCCGGCAAGUCCGCUGUGAAAGUCGGGGGCUCAACCCUCGGAUGCCGGUGGAUACUGUCGGGCUUGAGUACGGAAGAGGCGAGUGGAAUUCCUGGUGUAGCGGUGAAAUGCGCAGAUAUCAGGAGGAACACCAAUUGCGAAGGCAGCUCGCUGGGACGUUACUGACGCUGAGACGCGAAAGCGUGGGGAGCAAACAGG